UACGUAGGGGGCUAGCGUUGUCCGGAAUCAUUGGGCGUAAAGCGCGUGUAGGCGGCCCGGUAAGUCCGCUGUGAAAGUCGGGGGGCUCAACCCUCGAAUGCCGGUGGAUACUGUCGGGCUCGAGUACGGGAGAGGCGAGUGGAAUUCCUGGUGUAGCGGUGAAAUGCGCAGAUAUCAGGAGGAACACCGAUUGCGAAGGCAGCUCGCUGGAACGUAACUGACGCUGAGACGCGAAAGCGUGGGGAGCAAACAGG
rnacentral:rRNA from 1 species